rnacentral:rRNA from 1 species
UGACUAAGCCAUGCGAGUCGAGAGGGUUCGGCCCUCGGCGUACUGCUCAGUAACACGUGGAUAACCUGACCUAAGGWAGGGGAUAACUCCGGGAAACUGGGGAUAAUACCCUAUAGGUUACGGGUGCUGGAAUGCCCUGUAACCGAAAGUUCCGACGCCUUAGGAUGGAUCUGCGGCCGAUUAGGUUGUUGUCGGGGUAAUGGCCCAACAAGCCAGUGAUCGGUACGGGUUGUGGGAGCAAGAGCCCGGAGUUGGAUUCUGAGACACGAAUCCAGGCCCUACGGGGCGCAGCAGGCGCGAAAACUUUACAAUGCGGGCAACCGUGAUAAGGGAACCUCGAGUGCCUGUAUAUGCAGGCUGUCCAGGUGUCUAAAACACACCUGAAGAAAGGGCCGGGCAAGACCGGUGCCAGCCGCCGCGGUAAUACCGGCGGCUCGAGUGGUGGCCACUUUUAUUGGGCUUAAAGCGUUCGUAGCUGGGUUGUUAAGUCUCUUGGGAAAUCCGGCAGCUUAACUGUCGGGCGUCUAAGGGAUACUGGUAAUCUUGGAACCGGGAGAGGUGAGGGGUACUUCGGGGGUAGGAGUGAAAUCCUGUAAUCCUCGAGGGACCACCUGUGGCGAAGGCGCCUCACCAGAACGGCUUCGACAGUGAGGGACGAAAGCUGGGGGAGCAAACCGGAUUAGAUACCCGGGUAGUCCCAGCCGUAAACGAUGCGCGUUAGGUGUAUCGGUGACCACGAGUCACCGAGGUGCCGAAGGGAAACCGUGAAACGUGCCGCCUGGGAAGUACGGUCGCAAGGCUGAAACUUAAAGGAAUUGGCGGGGGAGCA